rnacentral:rRNA from 1 species
UACCAGCACCCCGAGUGGUUGGGACGUUUAUUGGGCCUAAAGCAUCCGUAGCCGGUUCUGCAAGUCCCCCGUUAAAUCCAGCUGCUCAACAGAUGGGCCGCGGAGGAUACUACAGAGCUAGGAGGCAGGAGAGGCAAGCGGUACUCAGUGGGUAGGGGUAAAAUCCGUUGAUCCAUUGAAGACCACCAGUGGCGAAGGCGGCUUGCCAGAAUGCGCUCGACGGUGAGGGAUGAAAGCUGGGGGAGCAAACCGG